AGCUAAACCCGACCGUAGCGGAUGCCACAAUUUUUUCAAUUGGGGCAGAAGAGGGGGCGGGGCUGCAG
rnacentral:ncRNA from 2 species